rnacentral:rRNA from 1 species
ACAAGCAAAUUAAGAGCAUCGGGUGGAUGCCUUGGCGUCGGAAGGCGAUGAAAGACGCGGUAAGCUGCGAUAAGCCUCGGGGAGGAGCUAAACAUCCCUUGAUCCGAGGAUUUCUGAAUGGGGAAACCCGGCGGGAGUCAUGUCCCGUCACUGGCAGAUGAAUACAUAGUCUGCUAAGUGCCAACUCAGGGAAGUGAAACAUCUCAGUACCUGAAGGAAAGGAAAUCAAACGAGACUCCCUCAGUAGCGGCGAGCGAAGGGGGAAUAGCCCAAACCGUGUGGAUCCGUCCAUGCGGGGUUGUAGGGCCGGUAUACGUGAUUCUGGAGUAGGCAGGGGAAGGAAGCUGGAAAGCUUCGCCAGAGCGGGUGAUAGCCCCGUACCCGAAACUGAAAAGGACACAACCGGUACCUGAGUACUGCGAGGCACGUGAAACCUCGUGGGAAUCUGGGAGGACCAUCUUCCAAGGCUAAGUACUAACCGACGACCGAUAGUGCACCAGUACCGUGAGGGAAAGGUGAAAAGAACCCCUGUCAGGGGAGUGAAAUAGAAUCUGAAACCUGAUGCUUACAAGCUGUGGGAGCACCCUUGUGGUGUGACCGCGUGCCUUUUGCAUAAUGAGUCAGCGAGUUAAUCUGUACUGCAAGGUUAAGCGUAAGUGGAGCCGUAGCGAAAGCGAGUCUGAUAAGGGCGUUUAGUAGUGCGGAUUAGACCCGAAACCAGGUGAUCUAUCCAUGAGCAGGUUGAAGCAAGGGUAAAACCUUGUGGAGGACCGAACCAUUAACGGCUGAAAACGUUUUGGAUGACUUGUGGAUAGGGGUGAAAGGCCAAUCAAACCUGGUGAUAGCUGGUUCUCCCCGAAAUAUAUUGAGGUAUAGCCUCAUGGAUUGUCUACCGGAGGUAAAGCACUGACAGAGCUAGGGGUCCUACCAGAUUACCAAACUCUUUCAAACUCAGAAUGCCGGUCAGAUCUACCAUGGGAGUCAGACAGUGGGUGCUAAGGUCCAUUGUCGAGAGGGUAAGAGCCCAGAUCAACAGCUAAGGUCUCCAAAUCUAUGCUCAGUGGUUAAGGUGGUGACGUUGUAGAGACACCCAGGACGUUGGCUUAGAAGCAGCCAUCGUUUAAAGAAAGCGUAAUAGCUCACUGGUCUAAUGACGUUGCGCCGAAAAUGUAACGGGGCUAAGCAUAGUACCGAAGCUUUGAAUUCCGCUUAGGCGGUCUGGUAGGGGAGCGUUCUUCACGGGCUGAAGGUGUGUUGUAAAGCAUGCUGGACUGUGGAGAAGUGAUUAUGCUGACAUGAGUAACGAUAAAACGGGUGAAAAACCCGUUCGCCGUAAACCCAAGGUUUCCUGGGUAAAGGUAAUCUUCCCAGGGUUAGUCGGUCCCUAAGGUGAGGCUGAAAGGCGUAGCUGAUGGGAAACGAGUUAAUAUUCUCGUACUUGUACAUCUGUGCGAUGGAGGGACGCAGAAAGGUAGACAGGCCGGGUGUUGGUUGUCCCGGUGCAAGCAGGUAGACGUGUGGUACAGGCAAAUCCGUACCGCUCUACGUCGAGACGCGAGUCCGUGACCGUAAGGUCUGAAGCUGUUGAGCCUAUACUGCCUAGAAAAUCUUCUAAGUUUAGGAUGUGCAAACCGUACCGCAAACCAACUCAGGUGGGUGGGAUGAAUAAUCCAAGGCGCUCGAGAGAACUCUGGCCAAGGAACUCGGCAAAAUAACCCCGUACCUUCGGAAGAAGGGGUGCUCCUCCGGGUGAAGUUAAUUCACUUAACGAGCCUGAGGGAGCCGCAGAGAAAUGGUGGUGGCGACUGUUUACUAAAAACAUAGGUCUGUGCGAAGUCCUAAAGACGACGUAUACGGACUGACGCCUGCCCGGUGCCGGAAGGUUAAAAGGAGAGGUCAGCGCAAGCGAAGCUUCGAAUUGAAGCCCCGGUAAACGGCGGCCGUAACUAUAACGGUCCUAAGGUAGCGAAAUUCCUUGUCGGGUAAG